UACGUAGGGGGCUAGCGUUGUCCGGAUUUAUUGGGCGUAAAGAGCGUGUAGGCGGCCAUGUAGGUCCGGUGUGAAAACUCGAGGCUUAACCUCGAGACGCCGGCGGAAACCAUCUGGCUAGAGUCCGGAAGAGGAGAGUGGAAUUCCUGGUGUAGCGGUGAAAUGCGCAGAUAUCAGGAAGAACACCCGUGGCGAAGGCGGCUCUCUGGGACGGUACUGACGCUGAGACGCGAAAGCGUGGGGAGCGAACAGG
rnacentral:rRNA from 1 species